CUACUGGGGUAUCUAAUCCUGUUUGAUCCCCACACUUUCGUGCCUCAGCGUCAGUUACAGUCUAGUAAGCUGCCUUCGCUAUCGGUGUUCUUGACGAUAUCUAAGCAUUUCACCGCUACACCGUCAAUUCCGCCUACCUCGUCUGUACUCAAGCCCUGCAGUAUCAAUGGCACCUCGACAGUUGAGCUGCCGUAUUUCACCACUGACUUACAGGGCCGCCUACGCACCCUUUAAACCCAAUAAAUCCGGACAACGCUUGCCACCUACGUAUUACCGCGGCUGCUGGCAC
rnacentral:rRNA from 1 species